UUUUUUUUUUUUUUUCUCCCUUGGGUCUUGGCAACUAAUGUAGUCAGUCAUCUGAAUUAGUGACAGAUCUUUCUCCAUGCUUAGGUACCAUUUUAUUUUAUUUCCUAAUUAUUUAAACAUGUGCAUGAUGAUCAUGGAACACUGCCCUAUAGACUAUGUCUGGUUUUAGUCUCUCGAAUUGCAGUACGACCAUCAGCAUUAGUGAUGACAACCUCAGAUGGUUCUAUGAUGUAGUUUGGUUUGGAAAUCAUUUAUGUUGCUUGGUUUUUUAAUUUGAAACUCACUUGACUGUUGGGGUCUUCAAGGGUUAUGUUCUCUCUUACUUCCAGGCAGCCAGGCACAUUUAUAUUUGGUGGCGGGUCUGCUCCAUCCCACUCCGCUCGGGGCUCUCUGAUUUCUUACAUACAUCCCUCCUCUGUGAAGCUUUCUCUCAAAUUACUAAAGCUAGAUUUGUCAAGCCUCCCUAGUUGAAGGGUGACAUCUUGUAUACAUUUGGUAAGCAUAGCUCUUCUUUACCAAAUUCGGACUCCUUAGACCUUGGUUUUCAUCACAGAAUUAUAAAUGCUCAUAUUAUCUCUUCCCUUAUGCUUUCAGAGAUUUGUGGAGUUUCGACUGAGUCUUUGUCCAGUGUGGCUGUUGGGCCGCUGCUUGCUUAUUCACCUAAGUGGCAAAUAUAGCCUGGAAACAGAGGCAAACAAAGGCGAAGAGUAGCCUUACCACCUUGGUGGGGAGACUGUGCAGAGAGUAUUUUGCAUCUAGAGACAUAGUCUUCUUCCUGAAUAUAGAUCACUGUUUGGGAGCAUAAAUGUUUCUUCUGGGCCGUGUGUGUCAGUGAGGGUGUUUCUGCGUGGGUGUGCACUCCCCUGCGUGCACUUAAUUCAGUGUCACCUGCCGGGUGAGCAGAGGCCCACUCGUCAUGUGUCUCCCCUGGGGAGGGAAUAUGGGAGAGACGAUCCCAGUGGCCUACGACCCUUGCUGAAUGCUCAGGAUACAUCCUGCCCCAGUUCAGUGUUAGCAGAGCUCAAUUUAGACUUUGGAAAAUGGACCUAUAGGGAUUCUUUGGUCAUGUGGACUGUCCAGGGGAGGGACGAAGAGAGCUGCUAGGGAAAGGGGAAAGCCUGGGAGCAGGGGGUAGAGGUGGCCUGGAAUGCAGUUGGUGAAGGGCUGGGCUCUAACAGAUUUGAGGCUCCCUCUCUCUUGAGCUGUCCUGAUGGCAGGUGCGCAAGGGUAGGGACUGAGUCAUGUUGACCGAGAGCCUUUUAUUGGGAAUGGUUUAAAAUUUGGGUGCCUUUGGCUUUGGACUGUAGAAACAGGCCCAUAAAAUGCAGCAUUGCAAUGUCCUGCCUUCAUGCUGCUGUGAUUCUCUUCAAUUGGCUGCCACGCUUGGUAAAUGGUGAUACUUUAUGCAGCCUUGUGUGCAGACGAUGUGAAUGAAGUGGGGGUGGGGGUGGACGGUGAAGGGAGGUUGGCCUCCCACCCUGAGCCUGUUGGAGGAGCAACAUCCUGACAGGGGAAGCUAGAAGCUGCUAGUUCCAGGGGGCUGUGAGUGGUGGCAGGUGCAGGUGGAAAAAGCCAGGCAGAGCAGCGACAUGAAAUGCAGCUGCCUGCAGGACUCAGGAGGGGACCUCCAUGCACUUCAACACGUACUUCCUGAGCACAUAUUAUGUGCUCGGUCCUGUUUUAGGCCCUUGGAAUAAACCCAACAGGGACACAAACGAAGGUCCCUGAUCUUGUGGGGACUGCAUUCUAGGAGAGGCUGAGGGUGGCGACAGAAAAUAAAUCGUAUAAAUUUAAAAAUACAUAAAUGUAUUUAUUUCUAACCCAUAAAUAACUUAGAGGCUGAGUUGUGUCAUGGGACAAAGAAAGAAGAGAGCAGGAUGAGGCAGAUGAGGGGUGCUAUGCAGGAGGGAGGAUAUUUCAAAGUGGUGCAACCAGGGAAGUCUGGUUGAAAUGAUGUACUUUGAUCUGGGGAAGGACCUGAAGGGUGAGAGAGGGCGCUGAAAGGUUAUCGGGAGGAAGAAUGUUCCAGACAGAGCCAACAGCAAAUGCAAAUGUUCCAGACUGAGGGAAGAGCAAAUACAAAUGUCCCAGGGAGAGCGUGUGCCCAGGUUUCCCUGAGGAGCAGAGAGGAAGGCAAGGCGAGGGGCACGAGUGGGUGAGGGCAGAUUGGAAGGAGAGAGGUCGGAGUUGCCUUGGAAGCGCCUCCUGGAGAACUGACAGCCCUUUGCCGUGAUUUUAUUCUGAUGUCCGUGCCCAGGAAAUGACCUGACCUGCUUUUAAGAGACUCCGAUUUCUUGGUUGAGAAUUGACCGUCAGGUUGGAAAAUGUGGAGCAGGGAGAACCUUGGAAACCAGCGCAUGGUCCAGUGAAGGGUGGGAUGUCAGGAGGCAAGAUGAAUUUCCCUGUAUAGCAAAAUAUUAACUUUACAUUUAGGUUUUGGAGUUCCCAUCAUGGCUCAGCAGUUAAUGAACCCGACCAGUAUCCAUGAGGAUGAGGAUUCGAUCCCUGACCUCGCUCCAUGGGUGAAGGAUCCGGCAUUACCAUGGCUGUAGUGUAGGCCAGCAGCUGCAGCUCUGAUUCAACCCCUGGCCUGGGACUCUCCAUGUGCUGUGUGCGUGGCCCCCAAAAGACAAAAAUAACUAACUAAAUAACUUAUUAUAGGUUGGAGGGGUAGUAUAAAAUGCUAUGCUCAAAUGCCUGAAUUUAGUUUUCAUAUGCUAUGUAAAAGUUUGUUUAUAGUUUCCCUAAUUACUUAUUAUGCUUUUUCACCUUCCUGAUGUACAUAUCAUGAGCUAAACUGCAUAUUUCCUUUAAAUUCUACCCCUGGAUUUUACAGAGAAGGACUUCCCAUAAUAUUUUGUAUUCGUGGCUCAUAAUUCCAAGGGGAAAAAAAACUAUCAUUGACAGUUAAUUUCUGGCAGCAGGAAGAGUGUACUUGAAAGUAUUGAAAUGAGGUGGGAGGUGGGGAGGGAACAAGAGAAAAUAUAAAUGUUUCUGCAGUGAAGAUUUGAUAGUAAAAUAUAAAAAACCCGAAAGUAACAAUGAAUACAGGUGUGCCUUGCUUUAAGAAGAAAGAUGCCUAGACAUUCACAUGGUCAAGGCAGAAUAUCGAAUUUGACCAGAAAGAGGGCAUUUUGUCAAACCCUCUGACUUUGCAGGUGAGGGACCAGUUGUCUGGGAGAACCACGUGGUGGAGUUCUGCUCCCAGUACAGACUUCCCAUCUCCUGGUGUGUUCCCUGCUGUGCCCCUGCUGCUAGUCAUUAAAGGGGGGUGAUUAUGGGUGUCAUAAAACAGUUCCUCUUUGAACAGCCAGUUCCCCUAGUGAUUUUAAAUAUUUUACAGGCCAUUAACUACACAUUAAAAGACCAGUGGCUAUAGGAGUGUCUAUCAAGCUCGUGCAAAUAUCGAUGAAUUAGAAACAAAUAAGAAUUUUUUGAAGGUAGAAUUUGAACUAAUAGGAAAUGUGAUUUCAUUUUUAAACAUCAGUUAAUAGGGAACCAGUGCCAUCAAGUUAGAUAUUUCUCUGUAGGUUUACAAAGACUGGCAGUCAUGGAUUCUACAAGUGGGAUUGAGCCAAUUGAAAAGGGAAGAUCCAUCUUUUUGUUCUCUGUGCCCAGUACUGUGUCCUUGAUCAGGACUCGGGCGUUGAUUGUUAGUUGAAAUUCAGUGUACUAUAUAGAGUAUCCUCCCACACAGGAGUCUAAAGGCAGCACUACAAAACACAUAUUUACACCUAUACAAUAGAGGUAGGACUUUGCUUAACUCUUCAAAAAUUGAAAUAAUUUGUUUGGCGUUAAUUUUUCAAAUCUCACGGUUACACAAAGCAUUCUUUGGCAGUUUGAUAACUCAAAGGGGAAUGUCAGCUUUUGAGGGGAGCUGCUGUGCCCACAGCAUGCGGAAGUUCCCAGGUCAGGGGUCAAACCCACGCCACAGCAGUAAACAGAGCCACAGCAGUGACCAUGCCAGAUCCUUAACCACUAGGUCAACAGGGAACUCCGGGAAAUGUCAACUUUUAAUGGAUGCAGCCAUAUAUGCCAAAACACUCAUAUAUAUAUAUAUGUGUGUGUAUGUAUGUAUUUAUUCUCACUAAUGGUCUUCUCCCCACUCCAAAAUGUCUGGGAUAGAAAAAAAUGGGGUGAGAAACAGAACAGUGAAAAGGAAACUAGGAAGUUCUAAUAUUUUUCAGCAUUAUCUUUUCCCUUUUUAUGCACUUAUACUUUUGUAAACUACCAUCUAUUUGAAUAUAGAGAAGCAGUAUGGCAUAGCAGUUAAGAUUAUAGGCACUUUGACACUGUAAUUGAGUCAAGUCUGGUUUGGAGCUUAGCAUAAGAGACUCCAUUUUGGCUGGUUGUCUUGGUUUUAACAGUACUUAACACAGCCGACCUGGAUACUUAAAAAUGUUUAAAGAGGUAUAUUUUGUUAUGUGUAUUACGCCACUCACCAAAAAAUAAGGAUUCUUAAAGAAAGAAUAUAGGCUCUAGAGUCUGACACUUAGCCUUGGAUUUCAGAUCUGCCACUUCUUCUUUGUGGGUCCACCAGAGCUCAUUUAACCUCCUUGCAAAAUGAAUGUGAUAACAGAACCUCAUAAGGCUGUUGUGAGUACGUUAACACUUAGAACUUGUACGCACGGUAAACUUUCACUAAAAGUGUUAAAAUCAUGGCUGUAUCUCCUUCAAAAAUAAUUGUGUUUUAUUUUAGGUGGGUAAGCUAAAGUGCACAAUAACCCUCAAUGAUAUUGCUCUGUUCUUUGGAAAUGAACUAGUCAUAAAAAUUUAUAGUCAUCGAAUUUUAUUGUGUGAAUGCACAAAAGGGAAAUUCUGAAAUGUAAUAGAUGAAUUGGAGCAGGAAUUAUACUGAUUGAUUAUGAAUCUGCUCACACCCCCUUGCAUUUUGAUGUUUUUAUCUCAAAGCCAAGAGCUGGCCACAAUGAAUAGAAAUGGAAAGGUAGAGAGCAAUGAAAACUUACUCCAUGUAUGCUUUUUGAAAGGACUGUUUUAAAAUGUGUGAAUUUAUGUAAGGGAAUUUAUAGACAUCACCUGGGGAACUGGUUUAAAUUCUGGGACCACAAAAUUUUAAAGCUGACACCAGGGACCUUAGGAAGCAAAAUCCCAAUCUGUAAUUUUAAAGAAGUGGAAGAAAAUGUGCAGGGUGUUUUAUGACUUGUUUCUGUGAUGAGGCUGCACUUGUUUCCCUUUCCCACGCUUUCCUUCCACUGGGAGGUGUCUGCAUCAUUUCUGGUUUUGCUCUCCCUAUCCACUCAAAAGAGUUAGAUGCUGUAUUAUGUGCCUUGGUGGUUUAGGACAAGAGACUAUUAUUCUUUCACCAUUCUGGAGGCCAGACUCCUGAAAUCCAGGUGGCAGCAAGGCUGUGCUCCCACCAAAGGCUCUGAGGAGUAUCCUUCCUUCCUCUAUCAGCCUUUGGGGGGCUCCAGGCAGAACUUGAGGCUGUAGAACUCUAUGCUCCAUUUUCGCUUGGCCAUCUCCUCUUCUAUAAUAAGAGAACCAUGGGAAUGGGAUUCUUCCCUCCCCCUUAAUCUCUCUCCAGACCCUUGACUUAAUCACAUCUGCAAAGACCCUUCUUCCAAAUGAGGUCACAUGCAUAAGUUCUUGGGUUUAGGACAGGACAUAUCUUUUGGGGGACUACCGGCCCACCCACUACAGGUAUGUUUGCAAUCUUCCAAGUUAGUGUAGUCAUGUGUUUGCCAGUUGUCCUUUCCCUGUAUGAUAAAGGUGGUUUACUUUUUUGGUUUCCCAAUAACAGUUUCUUCACUACUUUUACAGCCUCUACGAAGUUUCCUCUUGCUUUCUGUCUUUGCCUUCCACUGAAUCUCAAAGUCAAUGCCACAUAUUUUAGGCAUUUUUUUUAAAAAGGUAACACCCCAUUUCCAGUGCACAUUUCUGUAUCUUACUGGAUAAAUUAAUCCUAAAUGACUUAAGACAGUAACUUUUUUUUUCUUAAAAAAUGUAAAGAAUAUUGUUUAAAUUGUUCUGGUUUCAGCCAGAUAGUUCUUUGAUAGGUCUUGCUGGAGUCCUUCGUGUUGUUCUAGUCAGACGAUGGGUAGGCUGGGACUGAAUGGUCUAAAAUGGCCUCAGUCACAUGCCUGAAGCUGGAUGCUGACUAUCCUCUGAGCCUCUCUCUCUCCACUGGGCCUCUCAUCCUCUGGGAGGCUAGUUGUGGAGCAAGAGGAUCCAGCUACCCAUCCUGGUGAAGACUCUCAAUGUGUGGGAUGGCAAAGAGCAUCACAGGGUCACAGUGCUCUUACUUGUUUUAUGGGUAUCUGCAGUGGGCGCCUGGCUCCUAUGGUCAGCGGGUCCCUCCGGAUAGCACACGAGGUGGUGGGAAGCACCACCCCUCUCUUGUUGCAGGCAGAGACCCUCUCCCUUCCAGCUGGGUGGAGUGGGGGACAGAUGUACUGAUGGGUCUGGCUGGUGGCCAUAGUAGGCACAUGUUGAAGUGGUACAAGGAAGUUCACUGCAUAUCCAGAACAGGGGAAAACUUCCCCCAGUAAAGAAGAAGAAUCUGGGGCCAAGGGAACACUCAACACCAGGCUUCUAUAAUGGGGAAUGUUCCAGGCCCAGGGUGCCUAUUGGACGGGCCUGGAGAGGGGUGGCAGGUUGCUCAAUGGCUGCUUCUGCUGCACUGGCCUGGAUUUCACUAUAUGGUGACAGCAUUCAAAGAGCACAAGAGUGGAAAUGCAAUACAAAUUGGAGUCUAGGUUCAGAACUUAUAAUUCUCCAUCUACAACCAAUGGACCAAUAGAAUUAUCAACCAAAACCCCUCACAGAUUCACUGGGUGGGGAGGUGGGGAA
rnacentral:lncRNA from 1 species